GUAGUUCUGACCUUAAACGAUGCCAACUGGCGAUCCGCCGGGGGUAUUUCCAUGACCUGGCGGGCAGCUUCCGGGAAACCAAAGUUUUUGUGGUUCCGGGGGAAGUAUGGUUGCAAAGCUGGAACUUAAAGGAAUUGACGGAAGGGCACCACCAGGAGUGGAGCCUGUGGCUUAAUUUGACUCAACACGGGAAACCUCACCAGGACCGGACACUGGAAGGAUUGACAGAUUGAGAGCUCUUUCUUGAUUUGGUGGGUGGUGGUGCAUGGCCGUUCUUAGUUGGUGGAGUGAUUUGUCUGGUUAAUUCCGAUAACGAACGAGACUCUGGCCUACUAAAUAGGUGGCGGAUCCCCUUGAAGUCCGCUUCGCUCUUCUUAGAGGGACAAGGCAGCUCCAAGCUGCAUGAAAUGGGGCAAUAACAGGUCUGUGAUGCCCUUAGAUGUUCUGGGCCGCACACGCGCUACACUGAAGGCGGCAACGUGUUGGUCUGGCUCGAAAGGGUCGGGUAACCCGUUGAAUCGCACUUCGUGCUGGGGAUUGAGGUUUGCAAUUAUCCUUCAUGAACGAGGAAUUCCCAGUAGGUGCAAGUCAUAAGCUUGCGCCGACUACGUCCCUGCCCUUUGUACACACCGCCCGUCGCUACUACCGAUUGAAUGAUUUAGUGAGGGCUUCAGACUGGGACCGAUGCGGUCCCACCCCCCCCCC
rnacentral:rRNA from 1 species